rnacentral:lncRNA from 1 species
UGGAACCGCGUCCACCCGCACCGACUCCUUCCCGGAAACCCAUCGCUGCCACCGGCUCCACGGCCUCUAUAAAAUACCACCGGAGCCUUCCUCGUAUCGGAGGAUUUGAUUGACGUCUCUUCUCUUCUCUUCCCCCUCUCGUCGGGUAAGUCGCAGGUAUGGCCAUGGGGUAAUCGGUUCAGAUCUCGCGCUCCUUGUUUCGCUGUUCGUCGUUUGAUUGUAAUUCCAGGCGAGCGUUUCUGUCUGGGUUGUGGUGCUCCUUACGUUGAUUUCGAUCGAGGCGUAGUUCCGGUGAUUUGUCCUCCUCCGUUCCGGUGAUGUUGGUAUCGUCUUCUGAACCUCGCUGCUUUGGUUUAGGUCGCAGCUAAUCUAUUUUGCUUUGACUUCUGAUCUGAUUUAGGGUCGUGGCUAAUCCAUCAUGCUGAUUGCGAUAUGAUUUAGGGUCGUGGCUUAUCCAUUUUUAUCCUAAUUGCUGAUUUGAUUCAAGGCUGUCACGAUUAAUGGAGAUUAUUUUUGGCGAGAGCAACCAGUUGUGUUAGUUUAAUGGAGAUUAUUUAAACGUGGAGCAGUUUAUUUGCUUUCAUCUCUGUUCGUUACGGUGGAUUGGUCUUGGUCGGUUUAGUUGAUUCCUUGGAGAUGUUUGACAUGAUCGGAAUAAGAGAUUGAAGGUUGAGUGGUUUGGAUUGGUCUGUUCCAUUGGUGAUUCAAUAAUGUUCUGCGUACAGUGCUUUAUCUUUUUGCGGUGAAAAACAGUGAUUUGGGAGACAGUCCAGACAGUCAAAUUUCUGCAGUUUUUCUGCUUUUGAUCCCGUUCUUUCAUGACUUAGUCAGAUUCAAUAAGAGUUAGAGGAAAAAGGUUUGCUAUGCCUAUCCGGAUAUAUUUGCUUUCGCCUAGCAGCCUAUGCAUGUCAGACCAUAUCAAAGGGAUUUUGCUAUGUUGUGUGCCGUGUUAUAAAUGUAGAGCUGGGAUAUGUAUUUCUUGAACUGUGUGGACAUGCUCAUGGUGGAGAUUCUUCAGUGGCUAUAUUUAGGUGUCACCUUUUGAUUGGUUUCAUUUCAAGAUCUAAGUCAUUUCAAGAUCCCUAAGAAUAUUGGAGGUGCUUGUUUUGUUUACGUGCUAGAUGUAACUUUCUUGGGAAGUACCUUCAAAGAACAUGGAAGUUUGCUUUUGAAGUAACUUGUUCGAAGUUUCAAGUACAUUGAAGAAAGCUGCUGAACUAGUUUACUGCCUGCUGUGUUUUUCUCGGGUGGCACAUCAAGGUCUAUUCAGAUGCUGAUUACUGUGUUGGAAUCUACCAAUCAUUCUGAUCUCUAGUUUGUGAUUUUGAUUUUCUACAUGGAUAUUCGGUUGGGCUUCCGCUGGUUUACAUGCUCCAUCCAGUGUUGGAUUAGUCUUUGCUUGUUAUUAGCAUUCUUACUGUAAUUUAUAGUCAUGUUUUCUUCAUGCAAUUUAUGUUUAUGUUGUACACAAUCAUCAAUUAUGCAUCCUGUAUGAUGUUAUUGGUGUAAUUAUUGAAUGAUAUAUGGGUGAGCCCUUCAUCGUCGUUUGGUUGGGUGCAUAAAAGCUGUAAUAAAUAGCAACUGAAUUUCAUAGCUUGAUGUGUUUCUUUGUUGACAUUAAUACAUUUGUGUUCAUUCCCCUAAUCUCAAGAUAACAAUUAUCACUUUUUGAGCUGUCAUUUUGAACUUCCACAGUGGUUUUCAUUCCUGUGUUCGAUCACUUAAACUGAUAAGUAUGGUGCUUGUAUUCUUUUUAGGUGCUGUCUUUAGUCGUGCACAAGAUCCCUUUUAAUGAUGACAUUAGUUGCUUGUAUUUAAUCUUGAUUCUGCAUCAUUCACGAGUGCCACAUUCUAUAGCUAUUUUAUGUAGUUUGGUAUUAUGCUUCAAGUAUAUUCGAGUCUUCUAUGUUUGCAUUAUUUACAGUCUGCUUUUACUCUUGGAGUUUCCUCACUGUUCAGUGUGAAUUAUUUGAUUUGUAACGAUUUCACAUAGUAUUCGAAGGCAAAUAUUGUGUGAUAAGUGUGAAUUAUGAUUUCAUAUUUGUUCUAAGCUUAUGUUGUUUACAAUUUAUUUCCAACCUGUCAGUGAAUUAUGAUUUUAGUUCAUGUGCUUAGGUCUACCAAUGUUUUUAGAACUCAGCCAAUAACUAUCAACAGUUUUAAGUCACAAUCUACCUUAAUUAUAAGCACAUGGCACAUACCGUUAACUUUCCCCCUUAUUUGGUUGAGAUUAUAAGCAUGACACAAUACUGUUUUUGCUUUGGUUCUACUUUCCCCCACUUAUUGGUUGAGAUGAUAAGCAUGUCAUGCACAAUGAUUAGAACAUUUUAAUCUGUUUUGAGCUUACUUGAAAAUUUUAUUUGUCCCUGAUACGUUGUGCUGUCAUUUUUAUCUCUUCAAUAGAAGGUCACGAUUAGAAAGGUGAAGGGAGGCCUGUAGUUGUUGCAUAAGUAUAUGGAUGCGGGCUUCUGUUUGUAUACUAGUUCUCAUCAAUUUAUAAACUAACCGAGUCAUAUCCUCUUGACCAGUUAUAUUUGUCGUGCUUGCUUAACCACUCUUAAAUUUCUUGGGUACAGUCUGCAUAGUCUAAUUUUGACACAUCUUCUUGUAAUGUCAAUAAUGUAUGUGUUGUUUCAGUGUUCCAAUUCCCACAAUCAUUUCCUUUUGCUUGGCAUAGAACCAUGGUUCUAUCUGAUGAAAUUAUUUAUGCAAGACUCUUGCUUCUGUCCACUGUUCACAUGAAUUUUUUAUGGUUAAUGUCAAUGUUAAAGUGAUGUUACGAGCUGAGUAGGUGUUAGUACGUUCUAUGCUGGUAUUGUUUAGUUACCUUGAAAUACAUUUUAUCUGUGUGGUGGUCGCAAGCUUAGUUUUAAUUCUCAACCUUGGUGGUCAUAUAUAAGUCGGUAGCUUCGGAUGUGUUCCUAGUUUCCUAUAAGCUCGUUCUUCUAUUCGGAACCUGAUGCUAUCCUUGUGCUACAUGUAUGUCUAAAAAUUUCCCUCUGAAUAUUCCUGCCUUCCUUUUCUGCUUGGAAAUUUUAUUGCAAGCUUUGUUAACAAUAAAUGUUUGGUCAGUCUUGGUAUGCCCCUACUUGUUGUUCUGUUUUGGUCUGAGUUUUAGCUUUGUUUCCAAUCCAUGUUGCACCGCUUUAAGAUAUAUUAGUCUCGAUGCAAUGUGUCUAUAUAUCAUUAUUAAUGAACUCAAAUACCUAUUCAUUGCCCAAGCGUGGAGAAGGCUAGUGUGUACUCUGUUUAUCUUAUGUUUGCACGUUUUAUUGAUGUGAAGUUCAGACAUAUUUACCUAGAUGUACAAGUUUGUAUAGUUUAGUUCGCUAUGUUGUUCUGUGCUUUUCAGUGUUCUUUUUUCUCCUAAUUCUACCUGUCAUCUUUAUGCUGAAAAAUGUGAAUGCCAAAAUUGACUCGUAACAAGGUUUUUUUCAGAUAGCGUGUACUCAUUUCCGGCUGCAUUUUGAAUGACAAUAUAAUAUAGUAUAAAUUCAUUUAACUAAAUUCAAGAGCAAGUUAUAUAAUUAAUCCUUAAGAUAUUUUGACUUAAGUAUAUAUGUAUUUUAUACUGUGACUUAAUAUAGUAUAUGUUAGAGCCCGCCUAAAGUUUUUACCUCAUGUUUUAUUGCAUGUUUUUUCUUUUCCUUGAUGGGUCACUUCAUUUCCUUGAUGUUUUUUCUUCCAACUGUUUCACUGUCGGUUUUGCUACAGAAAAUACAGAAUAUCUUUAUGUGACUCUAGGUUUAUAUAUAUAAUAAAUUUCUUUACCAACUUACUCAAAUUGUGUGAAAUUUGAUCUUAACUCUAAUUGAUAAUAACUUGGCUUGGUAGCUUUCAUUGGAUUUUUUGUCUCCAGCAUAUAAUUGAAGAAGUAAUUUAAUAGAUGAAUCUGAAUAAUCUCAUAUUGACUUCAUGUUUAUAACUUACGAUAUGAUUCUACUAUGUAGCAAGUGUGUAUGUAGAGUCUUGUUUCGUACUUGUUUGUUGUGAAACAUCAUAAUGUAUCUAGUUACACGUUUGUCAUGAAUUCAAAUAGCGGGUGUGCAUGCUGUCUAAUUUAUUUCAUUUCUACUUUGCUUUUCGUUUUUAGAUAAUAAAUUGGCAGCAAAAAACAUUUUGACCUUUUUGGCAUAGUUCCGGUGAUUUGUCCUCCUCCGUUCCGGUGAUGUUGGUAUCGUCUUCUGAAGCUUGCUGCUUUGGUUUAGGUCGCGGCUAAUCUAUUUUGCUUUGACUUCUGAUCUGAUUUAGGGUGCUGGCUAAUCCAUCAUGCUCUGAUUGCUAUAUGUUUUAGGGUCGUGGCUUACACUUUUUUAUCCUAAUUGCUGAUUUGAUUCAAGGUUGUCACAAUUAAUGGAGAUUAUUUUUGGUGAGAGCGUUGUGUUUGUUUAACGGAGAUUAUUUAAAUGUGGAGCAGUUCGUUUGCUUUCAUCUUUGUUCGUUACGGUGGAUUGGUCUUGGUCGGUUGUUUGACAUGAUUGGAAUGAGAGAUUGAAGGUUGAGUGGUUUGGAUUGGUCUGUUCCAUUGGUGAUUCAAUAAUGUUCUGCGUACAGUGCUUUAUCUUUUUGCGGUGAAAAACAGUGAUUUGGGAGACAGUCCAGACAGUCAAAUUUCUGCAGUUUUUCUGCAUUUGAUCCCGUUCUUUCAUGACUUAGUCAGAUUCAAUAAGAGUUAGUGGAAAAAGGUUUGCUAUGCCUAUCCGGAUAUAUUUGCUUUCGCCUAGCAGCCUAUGCAUGUCAGACCAUAUCAAAGGGAUUUUGCUAUGUUGUGUGCUGUGUUAUAAAUGUAGAGCUGGGAUAUGUACUUCUUGAACUGUGUGGACAUGCUCAUGGUGGAGAUUCUUCAGUGGCUAUAUUUAGGUCACACCUUUUGAUUGGUUUCAUUUCAAGAUCCCUAAGAAUAUCGGAGGUGCUUGUUUUGUUUGCGUUCUAGAUGUAACUUUCUUGGGAAGUACCCUCAAAGAACAUGGAAGUUUGCUUUUGAAGUAAUCUGUUUGAAGUUUCAAGUACAUUGAAGAAAGCUGCUGAACUAGUUUACUGCCUGCCAUGUUUUGAUUGGGUGACACAUCAAGGUCUAUUCAGAUGCUGAUUACUGUGUUGGAAUCUACCAAUCCUUCUGAUCUCUAGUUUGUGACUUUGAUUUUCUACAUGGAUAUUCAGUUGGGCUUCUGCCGGUUUACAUGCUCUGUCCAGUGUUGGAUUAGUCUUAGGCCUCCUUUGAUUUGAAGGAUUUUUCAUAGAAAAAACGUAGGAAUUUUCAUUCCAUAAGAUUUGCCACUGUAGCGAUGUUUGAUUUGCAAGAACCAGUAUGAAGGAAUACUGUUGCAAUCCAGAGAAACACUGUUGGUUUCCUGUGAUUUCGCAUGGAGUGAAACAUUGGGUCAUACCUCUUUUUUACACAAAGACCAAGGCAAGAGGGACAAAGUUGCAUACCAGCGCAUGGUUUCUCUACUAAAUAAUGCAUUCCUUUGAUUUCAGUUCCCGCAUUUCAAACGUUCCAUUUGUUUCAUAUUCCUAUAUUUUUCACUUUUUUUCAAUCCUCUGUUUUACAACUGCAACCCUAUAGAUUUUCGGUAUUCUUUCUAUUCCAGCGUUUUUGCAAUCAUGUGAAUCAAAGAGGCCCUUAGCUUAUUAUUAGCAUUCUUACUGUAAUUUGUAGUCAUGUUUUGUUCAUGCAAUUUAUGUUUUAUGCUGUACACAAUUGUCAAUUAUGCAUCCUGUAUGAUGUUAUUGGUGUAAUUAUUGAAUGAUUAUGGAUGAGCCCUUCAUCGUUGUUUGGUUGGGUGCAUAAAAGCUGUAAUAAAAUAGCAAGUGAAUUUCAUAGCUCGAUGUGUUUCUUUGCUGACAUUAAUACGUCUGUGUUCAUUCUCCUAAUCUCAAGAUAAUAAUUAUCACUUUUUGAGCUGUCAUUUUGAACUUGCUCAGUGGUUUUCAUUUCUGUGUCCGAUCACUUAAAUUGAUAAGUAUGGUGCUUGUAUUCUUUUUAGGUGCUGUCUUUAGUCAUGCACAAGAUUCCUUUUAAUGAUGACACAUUAGUUGCUUGUAUUUAAUCUUGAUUACGCAUCAUCCACGAGUGCCACAUUCUAUAGCUAUUUUAUGUAGUUUGCUAUUAUGCUUCAAGUAUAUUCGAAGGUGUUGGUCUUCUAUGUUUGCAUUAUUUACAGUCUGCUUUUACUCUUGGAGUUCCCUGUGAAUUAUUUGAUUUGUAACGCUUUAGUAUUCAAAGGCAAAUAUUGUGUGAUAAGUGUGAAUUAUGAUUUCAUAUUUGUUCUAAGCUGAUGUUGUUUACAAUUUAUUUCUAACCUGUCAGUGAAGUAAGAUUUUAGUUCAUGUGCUUAGGUCUACCAAUGUUUUUAGAGCUUAGAUAAUAACUAUCAAGAACAGUCUUAAGUUACGUUCUACCUUAACUUUCCCCCCUUAAUUGGUUGAUGUUAUAAGCAUGACACAUACUGUUUUUGCUUUGGUUCUACUUCCCCACUUAUUUGGUUGAGAUGAUAAGCAUGGUAUGCACUAUAAUUAUAACAUUUUAAUCUGUUUUGAGCUUACUUGAAAAUUUUAUUUGUCCCUGAUAUGUUGUGCUGUCAUUUUUAUCUCUUCGAUAGAAGGUCACAAUUAGAAAG